UACGUAGGGGCCAAGCGUUGUCCGGAAUUAUUGGGCGUAAAGAGCUCGUAGGCGGCCCAACGAGUCGGAUGUGAAAUCUCAAGGCUCAACCUUGAAAUUGCAUCCGAUACUGCUGGGCUUGAGGCAGGUAGGGGAAAGCGGAAUUCCUGGUGUAGCGGUGAAAUGCGCAGAUAUCAGGAGGAACACCGGUGGCGAAGGCGGCUUUCUGGGCCUGUACUGACGCUGAGGAGCGAAAGCGUGGGGAGCAAACAGG
rnacentral:rRNA from 1 species